UCCAUCAGCCGGUGGAUUAGUCGUCUUCCUUCUCUCUGUACAAGUGAUACAGAGUCAGGAUGGAUGGAGAGUGAAUUACGAUGAGACUGACAUCUGUAAAGCAAAAGGAUCAGAAGUGUAUAUAACCUGUGACAUCACACACCCACCUGGAAGAGAUCCCUCGGAUAUAAAGGACAGAUGCUGGUUCACUAAAGAGAAAGAUGGUGAAACUGUGGAUCUGAGAACAGACUCUGAGUAUUCAAGCCGUGUGAAGCACACAUGUUUUGGUGAUUGGAAGACAUGUUAUCUGAUCAUCAAAGACCUGAGAGAGAGCGACUCGGCUGAGUACAAAUUCACAUUGAUGACAAACAAACCAGGAGAGAAAUAUACUGGUUCACCUGGAGUCACUUUGUCUGUCAAAGGUCUCCAGGUGCAGGUGGGAAGAUUAAAUUCUACCUGGUUGGAGCUGAAGUGUCACAGCAGCUGUGUUCUGCCUGGUCGUCAUUUAAACGUCUGGUACAAAAAUGAAGAGAGCAUCAAGAGAGGAUCUUCUCUUCUAGUCUCCUAUGGUUCUACAGACAGAUAUUCCUGUUAUUUAAGAGGAACUACUGGUCAACGUUCUCCUGCAGUGUAUGGUCCACAGCG